UUUGGCUGCCCGUACAGGUGUGCAGGUGGACAGGGGCUGAUGCGGGAGGGAGGAGGAAGAAGAGGAUGGAAGCGGAUGGAGGAGAAGGGCCUGCGCAGCGUGAGCACUUCCAGCAGCACCAAGCCCUACCUGGAGAAGUUCACCCUGGGCGUCACCCGCAUCCUAGACCGGUGACCUCUGGGAGAUUUGGAGCUGAUGGAAGCUGUAAUGCAGUGGUGUUAUGGACUGGCUGGAUGCAGAGAAGAUUGGGAACCCCCAAGGAACCCACAGGGGAAGAAGGCUCUUGGAAUCAAAGAAUGAAAGAAAAGCCCCAAACGAUUGGACCCAAAUUAUCUCAGGGCCAGCCUGAUUCCUUAUACUUCACCUCAAUUACUGAGAAUCUCUGGUGCUUCCUAGGACCCUGAGUUUCAUCUAGUCUUCACUAGGAAUGUACCCUUUAGUGUGACAAGACAAGACCUGUGGAACUCCCUGCUACUAGAAAUUUGUCAGAAGCUUCUCCAGGAGUUACUGAGGUGACAUUUGUGGAGAAGGUGCCAGUCGAGCGCCAUGCCAUUAUAUUAUGGGAACAGAAGAAUGCCUGCGUCUUGCCCGAGGAUUUAAAGAAUUUCUACCUGAUGACGGAUGGCUUCCACAUGACUUGGAGUGUAAAGUUUGACGGGUUUUCCCCCCGGACCAGCUCGGAUUAGCAUGGACAGGAGAUGUUGACUGGGCACAAUCUUUGGAUUGAUCCGUCCGCCGCAGCGUCUAAACAGCUCCUCGCUGGCAGCCACCGCAGCAUUGGACACAGCCACGUCCAAGUCUCCCUGAAGGUCCAGGAGAGCUGCAAUGGAAGAAGGAACAUGAGAACCACAGCAGAAUCCUCCUGGAUCAGGCCAAGGUCCUGCGUCCUGUUCUCACAAUGGACAACCAGACGCGCCAACAGGAAACCCAUAAGUGGGACCUGAGCACAAGAGCCCGGUUCCCUCCUGUGGUUUCCGGCAACUGGUGCUCAGAAGCAUUUCUGCCCCCAACUGUGGAAGCAGAGCAGAGCCAUUGUGGCCAGGAGCCAUUGAUACCCUUUCCUCCAAUAGUCUCUCAAAGCCAUCCAGGUUGGUGGCCAUCGCUCCCUCCUCUUGUAAGCUGCCCUAAAAACACAGUUAUAAAUCACAUAUAGAUAUUUAAAGAGAUAAAUUCAAAGGAGGGACAGGGCUAUGUCUUGUCAGAAGCGAAUGCCUCUCAUGAUAAGGAAAGAAGGAGCUGCCUGGAACAGAGUUAGGCCCAUUGGGUUGCUGAGUUCAGUAUUGUUUACAUGGAAGAGGUUUCUAGGACUGGCCGUUUUUUGAUGUGGAAAUGAGGAGAAUUGACACACACGGGGACCCCCCCCUUACCAUUGGCUCUCCUGGCUUUGGCUGAUGGGAGUUGUAGUCCAACAACAUCUGGAGGGGGCUGAUGUGCAGGACAGGAGAAUUGCGAAACAACAGGGUUGCAGUGGCAAAGAAAAGCAGCCUGGGAAGUGAGCUGGGCUCCCUGAGGAGCGUGUGAUAUUUUAGGGGGUGAAAUUUAAUUUUUGACAAAUUCUUCAGUGAAAGGUCUUUGAAAUAUGUUUUUGGGUGUGAGAAAUUAAAAUCUGCUAUUAUUUUUGUGAUUGAACAACAUUUAGCAUGGUAAGUCUAUGUCUGAUGAAGGAAGAAAAAAUGCUUUCGGAAAAACCAAAGAAUUUUAACUUCUGAAAAUGUAAGGUAAUUACUGUACAUUAAUACUAAAAUAAAAAUAACUACAAAUUCUUAGGACUCAUUUUUAAUGAUUUCUAUGCAGUUUUACACACAUUCGCUUACCAAGCAAAACUAAAUCAUAUUCAUUUCACCCAAGUCAUGUUACAACUUUUUAGCACCCUCGCUUUCUGAAUUUGAAAGCUGAAAAAUUCAGCACGCCCUACUGUGACAAUUCAUUUCGCCUUUGCAUUGCUAGGUAAAUUAAUGCCAGUUAUUAGAGAAAGAAAGAAACACUGUUUCUGUUCAAGUCCAAGUGUACAGAAACAAAACUUUUGUUGUUAGGUCUAAUCCAACUAUAUUAUACUUUGCCAAUGCAAUUCCUUCCCCAGCACAAACAUCAGAUUUCCCGUCAUGUUAGUGGCUAGAAGAACAUGGGAAUCAAAAUCAUGAAGGGAAAGGAGACUGCAGGGGCUGAUAGUAACUAAAGUGAGAUAAUCUGGGAUUAAUGAGAUUGGAAAAAGUAGUCCUGUGAUGAAAAGAUCCCUGCAAGGAAAAGAGCCAGUUUGAUCCUUACUCACCAAGAUAAGUGUCAUCAAUUUGUUUGCUGCUCACCAAGUCGGGUUUCAUAUACUGUGCAUUGCACGCUAGACAGAUCAAUAGAAAAUGAUCAGUUCCUGUGUUUGAUACUUUGUCCAGCUUAAAAACAUUCAUCAGACUUGAGGAACAGAGGCUGUUGGUACUCUAUAGAAGGGGCUAACAACUUCUGGAUCACUUUAACAAUUUGCUGGUUUAAUCGUAGGAACCCAGGAAGCUGACUUGUGCUGGGUCAAAGCAUUGCUCUAUCCAGCUCAGGACUGUCUACACUGACUAACAGGGGCUCUCCAGGAUUCCAUACAGGGGAAAUGGUGUGGCGUAGUGGGGGCUACUGGCGGGAUUGCCCCAGGCAAAAAAGGUUGAGGGGUGCGUCUCUGUUUUAAUACAGGCAAUACUCGUUUUGUGUGGGAGUUAUGUUCCAGACCCCCCCCCCCACACGUAAAGCAUUCCACCCCACCCUUGUUCCGCCCUGCCGUACCCCACCCCCAUUCGACCCUUGCUCUGCCCUUUUAGUGACAUCUUAAUGAUGUUUUGGUGACAUUUCCGGGUCACUUCCAGUGCGCACGGUGCAUCAAUUGCAACGAACCACUCACUGCCUGUAUUUAAAAGUGGUAGCCCACCCUGGGACCUUGGGGCAUGGAGCUGGUAAACAACAACAACAAUGGAGAAGCGCCUGACUUGCUGUGGGCAACUGGUAGAAAGAAACUGCUUUCUGGGUGCAGCCUCCCUUUAGCGCUCUCCUUUGGGCAGCGCAUGACACCUGGAGUUGCAUCCCUGCCUCUCAGCCUCCAGGUAUCCCGGCUGAAAUCCCACUUCUGGCUCAUGCCCUGAAACCCCCUUUCCUCUUAAAAGCCUUGUUUUCAAUUACCUAUCAAUAUCGUCGCUGCCUCGCGAUGCGCAGGGUUCCUGCUCUUUAGGUAUUCCGUCAUCUGCAUGAGCAUGUCUGGCAACCUCUGCCUGUAUCUCCACAACUGGGGGGUGGGAGUGGAAAGGAAGGCAAGCGAGGGGCCAGAUUAGUCUUUUGUAAAACUCCAUUUCUAUCCCUCGUGGUGGCCAAACAAUACUUGAAAAGUAUAACCUCAUUAUUUCUGAAUUGGCCACCCACAGUAAUACUACUGACUUUAUAUAACGCAGAAUCAUACUUCAUGCCCAAGUAUUAAGAGGACAGGAAAUGUUAGUUGGUUUAGUUGGUAGAACUAUGGAGGCAGAGCAGAGCCAUCAGAGCAGAGCCACCCUCCAUCAAUUUGUCCAGCCUUAUUUUAAAGCCAUCCAAGCUAGUGGCCACCUGUGCGUCUUGUGGCAGUGAGUUCCAUAGCAUAACUAUGGACGUGGCAGUGUUGGUGGGCCUCGGUUUGCGGCUGUGCUACACAUAGUGACAAAAUGUCUCAGAAGACAUCUGUGGUGGAGAAG